GGGUCAUUAGCUCAAUUGGUAGAGCAGGCGACUCUUAAUCGUCAGGUUGGGGGUUCGAUUCCCUCAUGGCCCA
rfam:Desulfotomaculum hydrothermale Lam5 = DSM 18033, WGS project CAOS01000000 data, contig: ABX_2590_16